GACGAACGCUGGCGGCGUGCCUAAUACAUGCAAGUCGAACGCUGAAGGAGGAGCUUGCUUCUCUGGAUGAGUUGCGAACGGGUGAGUAACGCGUAGGUAACCUGCCUGGUAGCGGGGGAUAACUAUUGGAAACGAUAGCUAAUACCGCAUAAUAGCAGUUGUUGCAUGACAGCUGUUUGAAAGGUGCAAUUGCUCCACUACCAGAUGGACCUGCGGUGUAUUAGCUUGUUGGUGGGGUAGCGGCUCACCAUGGCGAGGAUACAUAGCCGACCGGAGAGGGGGAGCAGCCGCACUGAGACGGUGACACGGCCCAGUCGCCUACGGGAGGGAGCCGUAGGGAAUCGGCGGGAAGAGGCGGAAAUCUGACCGAGAAACGCCGCGGGAGGAAAGAGGGAUGUCGGGUCGUAAAGCUCGGUUGUAAGGGAAGAACGAGUGUGAGAGUGGAAAGUUCACACAGUGACGGUAACUGACCAGAAAGCGACGGCUAACUACGUG
rnacentral:rRNA from 1 species